rnacentral:rRNA from 1 species
AUGUCCAACUACAUGUUUUACUUGCUUUUCAUCCGUACUGAGAUGCUAUUGCCCGGCACCAGACCGGGUCUCUCCACCGUCGCGGUAUAUGAUCUAGAGGACAUCUUGAAGACCAGCAAUGCAAAUGUCGAGGAUGAAGAAGCACUUGCUCAAGAGAUAGUUAAACACACGACCGGGGAUACCCUGAUUCAUGAAGCUUGCAGGCUUGCUGUGUCACUGAUGAAGCUGCAGGAAGAGGAGAUGUGGCAGAUAAUCCAGGGCAUGUGGGUGGAGAUGCUCUGCUACUUGGCUAGUAGAAGCAGAGGGUUCCUGCACGCCAAGACCCUGGGUGAAGGCGGGGAAUACCUCUCCUAUGUAUGGCUCCUUUGGUCAUGCAUGGGGAUGCAGACCUUGGCAGAUAAGAUCCACAAGCCCGAAUCUCCGGAAGAAAAAGAGAUCCUUGUCACGGCCGACGAUUGGGCUUCUCCAUCCAACGACAGACUCAAUCACGAAACUUCAACUACACGUAUCCUUAGCCUGGUGUGA